rnacentral:rRNA from 1 species
AGCAAGCGGACCUCAUAAAGUAUGUCGUAGUCCGGAUUGGAGUCUGCAACUCGACUCCAUGAAGUCGGAAUCGCUAGUAAUCGUAGAUCAGAAUGCUACGGUGAAUACGUUCCCGGGCCUUGUACACACCGCCCGUCACACCAUGGGAGUGGGUUGCAAAAGAAGUAGGUAGCUUAACCUUCGGGAGGGCGCUUACCACUUUGUGAUUCAUGACUGGGGUGAAGUCGUAACAAGGUAACCGUAGGGGAACCUGCGGUUGGAUCACCUCCUUA